rnacentral:lncRNA from 1 species
CACGCCGCUCAGCACCUCGUCCCCAGGAAGGCUGCCUGCCCUGCGCCUUCAGUCCUUAACCCGUUUGCUCAUAGGGGUUCGCAGCCCUUUUCUGGGGUCCCGGUGACCUGUGGGUGCAGGGGGGAGGAUGCCAGGCUGGUGCCACCCUGUGUCUGAUGCUCCCCACGGCCAGGAGCAGGCUGGGGGCAGAUCCGUGCCUGGGACCCAGCUCUCCCCUCCACCCCACCUGCCAAAUAGCCAGGGGUUUGUCCCAGCUGGGCUCCACGGAGGCGAGUGGUGGAGGGGAUGUGUGGGACAGCCCCAGUGCCUGGGGAAGGUAUCUGAGGCUACAGCCCUGCCAUGGGGAGCGCAGGACCCCAGCUGGGACAGUCCCUGCUGCUCCGUGCCCCAGUCCCUGCCUUGCCCAGGAACAGGUUGGGGAGAACCAGGGGUGCUCAGCAACACCCCCACCUUCCAGAUUAGCCCAGCCCUGGGGACACAAGCAGCUUUAGUCUCCUUAGCCCAGACCUUGCAAGCUGGCUGGGUACCCACAGUGGUGCCAGCACAGGGACAUGGUGACCUUGCUGGGGCAGGGAGCCCCUGCUCACCCCAGCAUCUCCGCCAGGCAUGGCACAGCCAUGGUGAACAGGCUGGGGAGAGGUGGGCUGUUGGGGGGGGUCAGCCCCUGGUUCCCUUUGUGCUUGUCCCCACACAUCCCCGGUGGCACUGGGUGCAGUGGCAGGUCCCUGGGUUGUCCCCCUCCGUGUGGCACUGGGGUGCAGAGGGCAGCCGGCUGCCUUUACCACAUCCUGGGAUGGCACAAAACAUCCGGGCUGGGCAGGACACGCAGCUCACCAGGAAGAGCGCACACCUCUCCUCGCACGCACACCCAGCCCUGCACACGACGCACACACACCGGCACACGGAGCAGCGAGCACGGCGAGGGCAUCGCCAGCUCCACGCGGUUCGCCCAGCGAGGGCGCACACACACGCACACACACACACAGAGCCGUGCACACACUCGCAGCUGUAUGCAAACGCACACACACACAUGCACACGCACCUGCAUGCAAACACACCUCUAUGCAAAUGCACGCUGGGGCACGCGUGCCUCCUCAGCGCUCCUCCUGCGCCCUGCUCUCCCUAUGCAAAUCCUCCCGCACCAUGCAAAUCCCCAGCCCGGGGCCCCGGGAGCCCAGUGGGAUGCAAAUGGCCAUUUUUGGGCUGGUGGGGUGGGG